rnacentral:misc_RNA from 1 species
CCCAACUAUCCCUAUUAAUCAUUAUGGUGAUCCUAAAAACCAACAAAAUAGAACCACGCAUCCUAUUUUAUUAUUCCAUGCUAAUCUAUUCAAGCGCAAGCCUGCUUUAAACACUCUAAUUUUUUCAAGGUAAAAAUCCUGGCUAUUCCACACACCCAAUUAAGGGUACACAGCUUCACCAGAAGGAAAGGCCCGACCAAGGCAGUUCAUACACAGUGGCAGACCACCCGACCAGACCUAAAAUUCAACUACGAGCUUUUUAACUGCAACAACUUUAAUAUACGCUAUUGGAGCUGGAAUUACCGCGGCUGCUGGCACCAGACUUGCCCUCCAA